ACAAGUGUAUAUUAAAGUUGUUGCGGUAAAAAAGCUCGUAGUUGGAUUUCUACCGAAGAUAGCCGGUCGGGUCUUCGACCUUGUAUCUGGUUUUGUCUUUGGUAUCCUCAUAGGGAACGUUUCUGCGCUUUAUUGCGUGGUGCGGUAUCUAUGACUUUUACUUUGAGGAAAUUAGAGUGUUCACGGCAGGCAAACGCCUUGAAUAUAUUAGCAUGGAAUAAUAACAUAGGAUCUUCGUCCUAUUUUGUUGGUUUCUAGGGCUAAGAUAAUGAUUAAUAGGGAUAAUUGGGGGCAUCUGUAUCAACGCGUCAGAGGUGGAAUUCUUGGAUUGCGUUGCGACAAACUACUGCGAAAGCAUUUGCCAAGGAUGUUUUCAUUGA
rnacentral:rRNA from 1 species